rnacentral:rRNA from 1 species
GACGAACGCUGGCGGCGUGCCUAAUACAUGCAAGUAGAACGCACAGUUUAUACCGUAGCUUGCUACACCAUAGACUGUGAGUUGCGAACGGGUGAGUAACGCGUAGGUAACCUGCCUGGUAGCGGGGGAUAACUAUUGGAAACGAUAGCUAAUACCGCAUAAUAUUAAUUAUUGCAUGAUAAUUAAUUGAAAGGUGCAAUUUCACCACUACCAGAUGGACCUGCGUUGUAUUAGCUAGUAGGUGAGGUAACGGCUCACCUAGGCGACGAUACAUAGCCGACCUGAGAGGGUGAUCGGCCACACUGGGACUGAGACACGGCCCAGACUCCUACGGGAGGCAGCAGUAGGGAAUCUUCGGCAAUGGACGAAAGUCUGACCGAGCAACGCCGCGUGAGUGAAGAAGGGUGUCGGAUCGUAAAGCUCUGUUGUAAGAGAAGAACGGGUGUGAGAGUGGAAAGUUCACACUGUGACGGUAUCUUACCAGAAAGGGACGGCUAACUACGUG